ensembl:lncRNA
GGCGGGGCGAGACAGGAUCGGGGCGGGCCAGGGAAGGGCUCCGCCGGAAAGGCCGGAGCUCAUAAAGAGCCCGGCGCUCGCUGGGGCCUUAGGCAGGUGGGCGGGCGGAGGCCGGGCUGAGGCAGAGCUGAGGCAGAGCUGAGGCAGAGCUGAGGCAGAGCCCGGCUGCCCCAGCCCCGAGCGCGGCUGGACGGGCUCGAAGGAGCCGCCGCAGGUGAAUAAUGAGAGCUGCGAGGGGCUGAACACGGCUGAGUGGUGUCCUGGCCGGAGUGAGCGUGCGGGGCUGUGAAAAGCGCCUUAAAUGCACGCUGUUAACUGAUAAAUAGCGGAUUUAGUUGGAGUUCUGGCGGCCUGGCAGGCUCUGGUCUGUCCUGGCUGGAAGAUUCUGUAGUAGGGGUUCAUAAUUCAAGUGGGAAACGGGAAGUUACCUGAACAAUGCAUAAAAAAUAAACAACAAAUCUCAAUCGCAGGUGUACCCAGCAGCCUGGCUCUCCGUGCUAACAGGCAGCCGCAGUGGGAUCAGGUGUGUCUAAAUUAGUCCCAGCAGGUGGGUUAGAAACUCGGCUCUGGGUCAGGAAUGACUUCAGUGUGUGCCUGUUAAUGAUAAACAGCUGCGUUAAAAAACAAGUUGUUAUUUCGGGCUCCUGUUUGCUACUUCGCAGGUUGUUACAGUAAUGAAAGACUUUAGGUUCAUUACAGGAGAUGCAUGUGCUAAUUAGCAGCCCAGUUAAUAGGGCAGACUGGGAGCUGUGCUUGCUGCUCCCCGGAUUUCCAAAACCUCAGGAGAAGGAACGCAGGGAUGCAGUGUGAGCAUCAGAGGCAGCCGUGCUUUAGGGAUAGCAGAAAAAUAAUGAAGAAAACGAUGACUAAUGAGCGGCUGUGCCCGGGCUGGGGUUCCCCUUGUGAAGGAACAUUUCUGCACCCCGAGAGAAGCUGCCCAGGAUUCCAGAGGUUAGGAAGAGCUCGGAGGUGCGGUGGGAGAGGAGCGCUGUCCCCAGCAGGUGGCAGGAGCCGCCUUCCCGCACGCUCCGCGCCGCUGUCCAUGGUUACCCACGGCAGCCCGGGAUGCUCGGGAACAGCAGCGGGAAAGGGGCGGUGUGGGGCACAGGUGAGCCGAGCAUUCCCUGGAUGUGGGGCACAGGUGAGCCGAGCAUUCCCUGGAUGUGGGGCGGGAAAGGGGCGGUGUGCGGCACAGGUGAGCCGAGCAUUCCCUGGAUGUGGGGCGGGAAAACUGCGGCUGCUCCCCUGCUCGCGGAUCCCGCACCACAGGAGCGUUUUGGCUGGGUUUUGCUGCCACGUGGGGCACAGAAAUGACUUUGGCAUGACAGGAGCCAGGGAGCAGCUGCAGCUGGGCCAGGGAUGGGGCUCAGGCUGGAGAUCAGGAAAGGUUCUUCCCCCAGAGGGUGGAAUGAGCUCUGGAAAAGCUCCCCAGGGAAUGGGCACGGCCCCGAGGCUGCCGGAGCUCCAGGAGCGUUUGGGCAGCGCUGCCAGGGAUGCCCAGGCUGGGAUUGUUGGGGGGUCUGGGAGGGGCUGGGAUGAUCCCUGGGGGUCCCAGCUCAGGAUAUUCUGGGGUUCUCCGAGUGAUCUCUGA